rnacentral:rRNA from 1 species
UACGUAGGGUGCAAGCGUUGUCCGGAAUUAUUGGGCGUAAAGAGCUCGUAGGCGGUUUGUCGCGUCGAAUGUGAAAACCCGGGGCUCAACUCCGGGCCUGCAUUCGAUACGGGCAGACUAGAGUUCGGUAGGGGAGACUGGAAUUCCUGGUGUAGCGGUGAAAUGCGCAGAUAUCAGGAGGAACACCGGUGGCGAAGGCGGGUCUCUGGACAGUUCCUGACACUGAGGCACGAAGGCCAGGGGAGCAAACAGG